CAAACAGAACCAAUCUGACAUUACAUUACAAUACAAAGCAAAUGGAUAACACUUUAAAAGUCCUAACUGUUAUCUGUUUUAUUCACUUUGCGGAGAUUUUCAAUAAAACAUCAGUUACUCAAAAAGCAUUCCAACAAAGGUUUUCGAACAUAAGAAAGUCAAACAAUUCAUCAAGUUUUGGAAAAAAAAAAAACAAUUCAUCAAGUUGAUACAUUAAAAGUGCAUCAGCAUAUUAUAUCACUUAACAAGGAUUUGGACAAGUUCUGUUCCCUCCAGCACAUGGACCUUGUUAUGUAACCCUGGAGAGGAACCUUGUCUAUAAGAUGGAACAUGUUGUUCCAUCAAGGUGGCUCUACCAUCUAAAAAUCCAAAGCCGCAAAAUGUGACAAUCCCAGUACACGUGAAUACCAAAUGAUAUCAAUUAAGAAACCUUACCAGUCUUUGAUGUAAAUGAUCUUCGGUAUGUGUUGACAUACUUCCGAACAUCAUCAACCUUUGAGAGAUUGAAGAGUUUACGGAUCUUAGAAGCCCUCUUGGGACCUCUCAUCCUAGGUUUCUCAGUGUCAGUCAAUCCAGGAAGGUCACUUUCACCCUUCUUCACAAUCACCAAGUUCAAAACAGAAAGGUCAGGGCUGACAAUGCAACCACGGACAGACUUUCUCCUCCUCUCACCAUUCCUCCUUCCAUAACCACGGAAGCAAGGG
rnacentral:lncRNA from 1 species